CACAAUUUGACAAGGCUCUUAGUACUCCUUAUCCAUCACAUGCUCAGAGCAUCAGGAGACAGAAUAAAGGAGCUGGUAAAUAAGAAUGAGACAAAACAAAGAAGAAAAGUACAGCAACCAAAACCUUUUACAAAACAAAACCAGUACACUAAAUAAUGACGGAUGGCCAAAGGUGAAAUAUCUGUAUAGAUCUAAGAAUAGAAAUAAUACAGUAAUUCUGAUAAAAUUGACAUUUAGGAAAGCAAAAUUAAUCUUAAAUUUGAAAUGGAACAGAGAAAAAGAAAGAAGAUUAAGAAUCAGAUGUUCUACUUUUCCAAGGAUCAUGUGACCAAAAACUAACAAAAUGGCUUCUUAGAAAUCCACAACAAAGACAUGAAGAUUAUUCACCUUGGACUAAAUGAAAUGACUGUUUAUUUAAUAUAUUAAUGUCCAUCAUUUAAUGUACUAUAAAAUUUUGAUUGUCUAAGACAACUAUAGAGAAAUAAUAUAAAAUCCAGGUCUAUUCUAUUGAAUGUGAAUUUUAAACAACAAAAUUCAAGAAAGUUUCUUAAGAUGAAAUUAAAAUUUUCUACCAUCCUA